rnacentral:lncRNA from 1 species
AUAAAAUAAUAUUACACGUAAAUCUAAAACUUUUCCUUAUUUUUUAACCACAUAAUUCCCAUUGAUUUGACAUAAAUAAUACAUUUUUUUCCUAUAAUGUGACUCAAACAUGGGCAUGGUAAUAUAAAAUAUAUGCUAUUGUGUACCAGAUUUUUUUCUAUCUUUUAUUCUUCAAUUUUGUUAAUAUUUGUACAGAUUGAUCUGCCAGUUGGUUUUAAAAUUCCCCAACAGAAUUAACUUCCAAACUAUUAUCGAUAACGGAUCCAUGUUGCAAACUACUCUGAUCAUCCUCAUAUUAAUUGGGAUCAGCAUUUCAAGCAUUUGUCUUAUUAGAUAUCUGAACAUUUCCUAGCGUUCU